GGGGGAGACCGGAGGGGAGGGGGAGCGCGAGGUGGGGGCGGAUCGCGCAGCGGGCCCCGCGGGCGGAGGGAGAGCGGCGCACGGGGAGGGGCCGGGAGGGCGCAUUGGCGGGGGCGCGCGGGCGCCGGGCCAGCCCUGCUUCGCCUGGGUCGCCGGCUGACGCGCGCCGCAGUCGGAGCCUGAGCCGCGCGGGCGCAAGGGACGGCGCACGGCUGCCGGAGGUACAGCUUCGUCGGAGACUGAAGACACCGGCGCUCGGGGCCGAGGGUGGGCGCGGCGUAAGAAAGAACUGUGAGUCAGGAUGAAAACUCGAGACAGUAGCCAAUUGUUGAGGAGUAGCUGCAGCCUUUGGCCAUCGUGCCACGCGAGGUCUGAGCUUCCCCAACACAAUAUGGACGUCACAAGGGGGUGCUUAUGUUGGCAGCCCAGGCAGACCCCACGGCAGCAGAAGCAGCACGAGCUGACGGAAAAGAGCACUGGGCGAAGAGUCAGGAGGCUUGGCUCGAGUUCAGUCUGCUGUGAAUGACAUGACUUUGGGCAAGCUGAGCAUUUUCUCCAUUGACAGAAACAGUGCUGCCCUCUCUUCUCAGAGUUCUUAUUGAGAUAAAAAAUAAUAAGUCUGAGUGGUUUGGGAAAGUAAAAAGCGAUGAUAAACAUUUGUACCGUUUCUUUAUUCGUUCAGCAAGCAUGUACAUGCCAGGCGUGGGUUAUCCCUGUUAGGACACCUGGAUGGCUCCUGAGCUGGACCUUGUGGGUUCUCAGGGCAGUGGAGAUGAAGCAGCAGCACAUCCAUGCAAUGCUGUGUGGGUGGGUCUUAGAACUUCAGCAGCUAUGAACUGCAAUAAAGAAUCAGAGGUGGUCAUGGACACCUCUGCCAGGGAGACUGGUGAAUUUUUCCCAGACCUGGUGGGUUUUGAUAUAGCUCUUGGAAAAUGAGAAAUUUACCCAGCUGAAAGGGAGUGAAAGGGUAUUUUAGGCAGAAGGACCGGCAUUUUCAAGGCACAGCCGUGUGAGUGUACAUAGAGAAUCAUCAAGUUAAAAUUAACCC
ensembl:lncRNA